UAGGGAACCUGUGGCUGAUUCACAACACUCAGCAGGCGAUCACCAAUGUCCGUUUUUCUUUUGCCGCUUAUCCUGAUGCAGUUUGUUAUGAUGUGGUCCAGUCCCUGGGGCUACGGGACCAUAAAGGCCUUUCUGCUGUGGUCCAUGCACACUGGUCUGAGGUGGAUGCAGCUGAACAUCGCCUGUAUUGCAACAGAGACAUCAGUGGGUUGGGUGUCUGCUCCGUGCAUUGCAGCAGGUCGCAUUUGCCAUGAGCUCGGAUGGUAGAUUAAAAUGCCUUUGGUAUUCUGGUGUCAAGGUGCAAAAAACUUCAUCACAAGAUAAACCAUCUCCCUCAGAAUGUGGACUCCAUGGUGAUGGCAGCUUGCCUCCUCCAGAACUUCUCGCUGAGUAGAAGAGAGAACCAGCAGCUCCGUGACGAGGCCCAGGAGGGUGGACGUAGGAUGCCGCCUGUUGGCAAUAUGGCUGGACGACGCACAUUAGCUGAAGCCAGAGCUGCCAGCACCUACUUCAAUUCCCCAGGAGGGAGUGUGCCAUAGCAAAAUAGAAUGCUUUGAAACCUGCAUCCUGCUAUGAAUGCAGAAGGGAAUAAAACACAUUUUUUAUGUUGCAUGCA